rnacentral:rRNA from 1 species
UACGUAGGGUGCGAGCGUUGUCCGGAAUUAUUGGGCGUAAAGAGCUCGUAGGCGGUCUGUCGCGUCGAAUGUGAAAACCCGGGGCUCAACUCCGGGCUUGCAUUCGAUACGGGCAGGCUAGAGUUCGGUAGGGGAGAUGGAAUUCCUGGUGUAGCGGUGAAAUGCGCAGAUAUCAGGAGGAACACCCGUGGCGAAGGCGGCUCUG